rnacentral:rRNA from 1 species
CCUACGGGAGGCAGCAGUGGGGAAUAUUGGACAAUGGGCGCAAGCCUGAUCCAGCAAUGCCGCGUGUGUGAAGAAGGCCUUCGGGUUGUAAAGCACUUUUGUUAGGGAGGAAAGUCUGGUAGCUAAUAACUGCUAGAUCUGACGUUACCUAAAGAAUCAGCACCGGCUAACUCUGUGCCAGCAGCCGCGGUAAUACAGAGGGUGCAAGCGUUAAUCGGAAUUACUGGGCGUAAAGGGUCUGUAGGCGGAUUAUUAAGUCGGAUGUGAAAUCCCCGGGCUCAACCUGGGAACGGCAUUCGAUACUGGUAGUCUAGAGUGUGCAAGAGGAUGGGGGAAUUCCUGGUGUAGCAGUGAAAUGCGUAGAUAUCAGGAGGAACAUCAAUGGCGAAGGCACCUUUCUGGGGCAACACUGACGCUGAGAGACGAAAGCGUGGGGAGCAAACAGGAUUAGAUACCCUGGUAGUCCACGCCCUAAACGAUGUCAACUAACUGUUCGAAGUCACUAAGAUUUUGAGUAGU